UUGUCAGUUGUCAUUAUUUCUUGGUUAUUCUGUUAUUAUUUGUCUGGUCCGGUCCACUGCAGAUCAGAUCAGACUGAAUGUGGAACCUGAAAGAACAGGAGUGUGAGAACCCUGAUCUGAGCAAAAGAACUGUAACAACUAACUUUAAAUCAGGAGCCUAUAGAAGUAGAACUAAGCAUAUGUAACAAACUGUAACAAGUCUAGAAAAAAUCUAAAAAAGGAGUCUAGAUAAAUAUAAAUAUAAGUAUAAAUAUAAAUAUAAAUAAGCAGAUCUAAAGAGGUAAGAACCUGAACUGAAAGGGUUCAAGAAAAAAAGACAGACCAGUUUUUAUGGUUUUAAAUUAUUUCUAGAAAAGACAAACUGAACUGAAGUCUGAAAUGUACACGAUUCACUGAUGUGUGGACAGAAAACUGUUACGCAGAUCUAAACAUAAAUCCUGUUUUAUGUGACAGUUUAAUGUGACGAUGUAACACUGCAUCAGUAGAAGCACAGUGGGUGCAGGUUCUAGAAACACAGUGGCUGCAGGUUCUAGAAACACAGUGGGUGCAGGUUCUAGAAACACAGUGGCUGCAGGUUCUAGAAACACAGUGGGUGCAGGUUCUAGAAACACAGUGGGUGCAGGUUCUAGAAACACAGUGGGUGCAGGUUCUAGAAACACAGUGGCUGCAGGUUCUAGAAACACAGUGGGUGUAGGUUC